rnacentral:lncRNA from 1 species
ACCACAUAUUUACCAUACACGUGUUUGCAUUAAUUAAAGUACAAAUAAAUCAGAAGUUACUAUGUGCUGACUAUUUUGUUCUGAUACCAGAAUCGAAUUGACGCAACUUUAACAUGGUGAUCCCGACGUUCUGGUAGAGGACAACUUCGCUGAGCAUUGAUCAGCCAAUUGGACAUUUCUCUCGGGAAACGGUGUGUUUCACAAAGAGUCCGGACAACUAAAAACAGGUAAGCAGACACCUAUUGUUAUAAUAACUAAAGAUCUGCAUAUUGGCUUUAACCAAAUUAAUUUCGUGAAGCACCUGUUCGAUGUAAGUGAACCAAAUUAUGAAUUAUUAUGAGUAGAUAAGAAAUAUUAUAGAGUGAUUAUUGUGACAUGCAAACCCAUGGUGAAUGUGUUGUUAUUACCUUGGUAACUUUGAGUAUUGUUCUACCGGCAAGAUCCGUGAUACUGUAGGGCACGAUUAGGACCGUAGAAAAUACUGAAAUCUCAGGCUGGGAUCGUCACUUGAAGGGUGCGACCCGGGGAUAUAGGGACUAAUUGAAUACUGAAAUCUCCGGCUGGGAUCGUAACUUGUAGGGUGCGACCCGGGGAUAUAGAACUAGAAAAUACUGAAAUCUCAGGCUGGGAUCGUCACUUGAAGGGUGCGACCCGGGGAUAUAGAACUAGAAAAUACUGAAAUCUCCGGCUGGGAUCGUCACUUGUAGGGUGCGACCCGGGGAUAUAGAACUAGAAAAUACUGAAAUCUCCGGCUGGGAUCGUCACUUGUAGGGUGCGACCCGGGGAUAUAGGGAAUAAUUGAAAAAGCAAUUGCUGCCGGCGAGGUUUGUACCUACGAGAGUACGACUGGGGUCGGAAAAUUUUAGAUAAGAAUACUGAAAUCUCCAGCUGGGAUCGUAAACUUGUAGGGUGCGACCCGGGGAUAUAGGGUAAUUCUUAGGAAAGGAGGUGAGGUUGUAGGCGAGAUAAAAGGGGGCUAAUAAAUUAGGAACUUAAAGGCAAGGGAAGGAUAGCAUAAUAGAAGUUUAAAGAUAAGAUUAUAUGCUUAACCUCUCUGGGCUAGGCGGGACGAAUUCGUCCCACCUACGCAACAGCCAGUUGAAUCCCGUGGCGCGAUUUUCAAAUACCUUAGAAAUGCUAUUACUUCAAUUUCUUAAACAUAUGACUAUUUUACAGCAUUUUAAAGACAAGACUCUCGUUAAUCUAACCACACUGUCCGAUUUCAAAAAGGCUUUACAACAAAAGCAAAACAUUAGAUUGUCAGCAGAGUACCCAGCCAGAAAUAAGACACCCAUUUUUCAAGCUAGCAUAUAAUGUCACAAAAACCCAGAAGACAGCUAAAUGCAGCACUAACCUUUGAUGAUCUUCAUCAGAUGACAGCCCUAGGACAUUAUGUUAUACAAUACAUGCAUGUUUUGUUCAAUCAAGUUCAUAUUUAUAUCAAAAACCAGGUUUUUACAUUAGCAUGUGACUAGCAUUCCCACCAAACGCUGCCGGUGAAUUUACUAAAUUACUCACGAUAAACGUUCACAAAAAGCAUAACAAUUAUUUUAAGA